rnacentral:rRNA from 1 species
GACGAACGCUGGCGGCGUGCUUAACACAUGCAAGUCGAACGGAAAGGCCCCUUUGGGGGUACUCGAGUGGCGAACGGGUGAGUAACACGUGAGUAACCUGCCCUUGACUUCGGGAUAACUUCAGGAAACUGGGGCUAAUACCGGAUAGGAAUCCUUGCUGCAUGGUGGGGGUUGGAAAGCUUCGGCGGUUUUGGAUGGACUCGCGGCUUAUCAGCUUGUUGGUGGGGUAGUGGCUUACCAAGGCUUUGACGGGUAGCCGGCCUGAGAGGGCGACCGGCCACAGUGGGACUGAGAUACGGCCCAGACUCCUACGGGAGGCAGCAGUGGGGAAUAUUGCACAAUGGGCGGAAGCCGGAUGCAGCAACGCCGCGGGCGGGAGGACGGCCUUCGGGUUGUAAACCGCUUUCAGCAGGGGCGAAGCUUGUGGUGACGGUACCUGCAGAAGAAGCACCGGCUAACUACGUG